UUUUCCAAAGUUUAAGCUGAUAGGAUAAGAUAGAUUUAUUUAUAUAUUUUAUAUUUUCUUAUACUCUCUCUCACAUGUGGGGCGGACUUCUUUUUUAAUGGGUGAGCCCAAUAUGUGAAAUUUUUUAAUAAUGAGGUUAAAGAGUGUGGAGACAGAAUUCACACUCAGAAUCUCUACUCUGAUACCAUGUUAAAAUCACUACUUUUUUCAAAAACUUAAGAUAAUAGAAUGAGGUAGAUUUAUUUAUAUAUUUUAUAUUUUUUUAUAGUUUUUGUGACACGAAACCACCAAUGACUUAGGAGAGGUCAAGGGUUUGAAUCGAGAAGGUCACCCUCACUAUAUUUCUGAAAAAAAUAUGAAACCAUAAACAAUCAGAACUUUCAGGCAACUUUAUAUGAAACAAAAAUAAAUUGUAAAAGAUUUCUCUAUAUUAUAGGUUGUGGUAGUAAUCAAAUAAUGAUCUUUAGUUUAGUGAUUGACUCUUCAAUCUAUUGUAGAUGAGCUGAGCUUGUUAUUAGCUUUAUCACUCGACUCCUAAAGCAUGCGGACCUUUUUCUUGAGAAAACUAAAACAUGCAAACCUACACCUUUUUCAAACUUCAGUUAAAUACUUGAUAGAACUUGAUCUGCUGAUUGGCACCUCUCACCAUGAUACUUGUGGAGCUUUAGAUUCAAACAUGGAAGGUGGCACUCCUGUUUUAUAACUCGAGACAAAUGAAUGAGUGAUAAAAAAAAAAUCAUAAUUUUAUGAAAAUGUAAAGUGUGAUUCAUUACCAAGUAAAAUGACGAUAUGCACAAAAUCUUAUAGGAGAGAAAUGAUGCAUACACAUGGAAAACCGCCUUGUCUCAGCUGGUCAGCAUUUCUCCCCCAUAGACGUCGAGGGCUCAAAUUCUGGUGGCAGCAACCUUUCC
rnacentral:lncRNA from 1 species